rnacentral:rRNA from 1 species
UACAGAGGGUGCAAGCGUUGCUCGGAAUCAUUGGGCGUAAAGGGUAGGUAGGUGGUCUCGUUUGUCUGGGGUGAAAGCCUUGAGCUUAACUCAAGAAGUGCCUUAGAAACGGCGAGACUGGAGUCUUGGAGAGGGUCGUGGAAUUCCCGGUGUAGCGGUGAAAUGCGUAGAGACCGGGAGGAACACCGGUGGCGAAGGCGGAUCUCUGGAACGCAACUGACGCUGAGACGCGAAAGCGUGGGGAGCAAACAGG